UAUCGUUACUCCUGCGUGUACAUACAUAGUUUCAACGUUCGAAUCACAUUCUAUUCGUAUUCGAGACGAAUCAAUCGUCUUGUGAAAAUAAUAAUAAUAAUAAUAAUAAUAAUAUAUAUAUAUAAUUAUAAUAAAAAUAAUAAAAAUAAUAA